rnacentral:rRNA from 1 species
ACCUGCGGAAGGAUCAUUGUCGUGACCCUAACGAAAACAGAUCGUGAACUUGUCAUCUAGCGUACCGGGUGAUGGGGUAGCACCUGUCUCCUGGUUUUCGGUUACUGACCUUCUUUAGGGAUGGUGAGUGGCCACAAAAGAACCCCGGCGCCGUAUGGCGUCAAGGAACACAAAUUUUGCCUUGCUUGGUACAACGUCUGGCUUGCUGGAUGUGAAUCAAGCAACGAUCACAUUAAUCGUCAUGACUCUCGGCAACGGAUAUCUCGGCUCUCGCAUCGAUGAAGAACGUAGCAAAAUGCGAUACCUGGUGUGAAUUGCAGAAUCCCGUGAACCAUCGAGUUUUUGAACGCAAGUUGCGCCUGAGGCCUUUUGGUUGAGGGCACGUCUGCCUGGGCGUCACGCUAAAAGACACUCCCAGCCCAAUUGGGUGGUGGAUGUGGUGUUUGGCCCCUCGCGCCGUAGGUGUGGUGGGCCAAAGUAGGGUGGUACCGGCAGUGCUGAUCACAGCACAAGGUGGAUGACACAUGUUAUUCUCGGUGCUGUGAUGCUGUAUUUGAUUCCGGUGUCAAAACUUCCCUUGGACUCAUACAUCGAGAUGCAAGUCACUCGAACCGCGACCCCAGGUCAGUCGGGAUUACCCGCUGAAUUUAAGCAUAUCAAUAAGCGG